GGUUAAGCGACUAAGCGUACACGGUGGAUGCCCUGGCAGUCAGAGGCGAUGAAGGGCGUGCUAAUCUGCGAUAAGCGCCGGUAAGGUGAUAUGAACCGUUAUAACCGGCGAUACCCGAAUGGGGAAACCCAGUGUGACUCGUCACACUAUCAUUAACUGAAUCCAUAGGUUAAUGAGGCGAACCGGGGGAACUGAAACAUCUAAGUACCCCGAGGAAAAGAAAUCAACCGAGAUUCCCCCAGUAGCGGCGAGCGAACGGGGAGGAGCCCAGAGCCUGAAUCAGCAUGUGUGUUAGUGGAAGCGUCUGGAAAGGCGCGCGAUACAGGGUGACAGCCCCGUACACAAAAGCGCAUGUGCUGUG
rnacentral:rRNA from 1 species